AAAGUUGAUGAAAAAACCAGCUGUCAAAGAAGAGGUGGAAGAUGAAACAGAAAAAGACAAUGAUGAAGUGGAAGAUGGAAGUGGCUCGGAGAGCAAUGAAGAUGGUUCCAGUGACUUUGAAAAGGAAAAUGAAGCUUAUAAUGAUUAGAUUCCCCUCCAACUGACCCGUAUGACUUCUCACUCCAAAAAAUAAUUUUAUGAAGAUCCAACAUGAGACAAUCUGCUUUGCCCAAAGUUCUAAUGACUUUAAAGAAUCAAUUCGCUUCUGUAAUUGUAUCAUGUAGACGAAGAUUUAGAGGAUGGUGAAAUCAUCGAAGAAGAUUUCGAUGAAGAACCGAGUCAGAAAUCUGAACCUGAACCGGUGAACAAAGCACCAGAAAAAGAACAAAGAAGAGAACCCAAAGCAAUAAAUAAUUUUGAUGAUAAUUUUCCUUCGCCUCCGAAGCGGCCAAAAAACAACUUUAAGAAAACCUAUGACAGUUGGAAUGACAGGCCUUUCAAGGAUAAAUCCAAAAAACCCUUCGACAGUGCCAAGGAAGAUGAGUUUCGUUUCAAGAAAAAGAGGAAAAAGCCACGAAAAGAAGACGAGCCGUCAAAACCUGCAAAGAAACCUCGGACCGAAAAGGGUCAGGGAAAUUCAGAAAGUGGAGAACUUGAUGACGAUGAGGAUUUCCUUUUUGUUCGUGGAGCCUCACCAUCAGGUGAAUUCAAAAGACUGAGCACAAAUACUGCUAGCAGUAAUAAUAACUAUGAAGAAAAUGAGUCUGGAGAUGAAGAAGAUUUUCCUGAGCCUGGCGGAAACCGAGGGAGGGGAAGAGGCUCUUUCAGUGGGCGGCACAUGAGGGGCUCCGACAGGCGAUCAAGGCCACCUAUGCGUGGCAUGCGAGGGAAACGUGGUCGGGGAGGUAUUCUUCGUAAAGGAAAAUUCAAAGAUGAAAACCAAGAAGACUCAAUUUGUAAAUUUUUCAUGCAAGGAAAGUGUCUAUGGGGAGAUGACUGCCCCUACUCCCAUGAUGCUUGCCCACCCAAAAAGAUGGAGCUGUGCAAAUUCUAUUGAUGGACUGCUGUGCUAAAAGGGAUAAAUGUUUAUAUAUGCAUAACGACUUCCCUUGUAAAUACUAUCAUACAAAUUUAAGGUGUUUUGCUGGUAGGAAUUGUAAAUUUAGUCAUGGGAAACUUAAUGAUCAACUUCGUACUAUUUUGAUCAAGGUAAUUGAAAUUUUAAGCUAAUUUAUUUAAUUACUAAUUUAUUUUAAGUUAUUUAAGUCUUAAAUUAAUUUAUUCAAAUGUCCUUUGAUUUGAUGACAGCCAAAUAUAGACGGCGUAAGUCCACAAUCACAUAUCUCAUUUGGGGUGUCUAAAAAUCUCCGCCCCCAUGUUAUUUUUUUAAGGAAAACAAAUUGGCA
rnacentral:lncRNA from 1 species